GCCCACACCAGUGGCUUUGUGAAGCAGAGCACCAGCAGUGACAGUCCCACCAGAACCACAUGGAAUAGAAAACCGUGCAUUUCCCUAAGGAAAGGGAAUGCCAGAGAAGGGCACAAGGGAAAUCAGGAAGACAAAACAGUAAAUUACCUACCUCAAAUCCAAUUUACUGGUAUUUUUCCACUUACACUUAACCAAGCAACAAUUUCUCCUGGUCCCAUAAUGGAAAAGAGGGUUUAUCUAGAUUCAUAUAUACAAGACUGAAGAGUGAAGAGAGACCCAGAGAAUGUUCUAAAAUCUGCCAGUUAGCAUAACCACACAGAGAAAUCUCUGCUUCCAGAGGAGGAGCCAAGUUCAAGUCAGAGUGUCUUCAUGUUGGAGUGGACCUUUCCUCUAUCUGUCAACAGAAUGGAUAAAUUGUGGAAUAGUCAUAUCAGAAUACUACACAUCAGUAAAAAACAACAAACUUCUGCUACAAACAAUCACAUCGAUGAAUCUUGCAGACAAAAUGUUACAGAAGCAGAUAAUCAGUGGCCCAUGGAUUCCAGGUGAGGAUCUGGGACCCAG
rnacentral:lncRNA from 1 species